AGUUUGUACACGGAUCAUGUUCACUGAUGGACAACAUGGAACCGGCUGCCGAAAAGACACGUUGUUUUUGUUUGUUGACUUAAGUCCUUACGACGCUUUUUAACUACGUGUAGAAAUGUACAAGAAAAUGUUUGCAAAGUAGUAUACCAUCAAUGGGAAGCUUUUAAUCAUGCAGCAUGGCCGCGCCGGAGAAUGAAAGUUUGCCCCUUGGUGAUAGCGUCACUCAUUGUGAUCAAAACAACAGCGGCGGAGUGAAACACGAGGGCAACCAACAAGAAGUCUUGAACCAAGAGGAAAAGACUGGAGGAGAGCAGAGUCUGGUGUCCGCCUUCAAGCAGAUGAAACUGGAGCGAGAAGCACAGAAGAACUGGGACUUGUUCUACAAAAGGAACACAACUCAUUUCUUCAAGGACAGACACUGGACCAGCAGAGAGUUCGAGGAGCUCAAGACGUGCAGACAAUCUGAAUCGCAGAAGUUCGUCCUGCUGGAGGCGGGAUGCGGCGUGGGCAACUGCAUCUUCCCUCUGCUGGAGGAAGAGUGCAACAUCUUCGUCUACGCCUGCGACUUCUCGCCCAGAGCGGUUGAUUUUGUCAAAAAUCCUCUGUGCGAUCCUGCUCGCUGCGCCGUUUUCCAGUGCGACCUGACUUGCGAUGACCUGCGAGACAACAUUCCCGAGGCGAGCGUUGACGCUGCCACGCUCAUCUUUGUGCUUUCUGCCAUCCAUCCUGACAAGAUGGCGCCGGCCAUUGGCAACAUCCACAGGGUGCUGAAAGCCGGAGGCGUCGUUCUCUUCCGAGACUACGGCGUGCAUGAUCACGCCAUGCAGCGGUUCAAAGCCAGCAGCAAGCUGGCAGACAACUUCUACGUGCGACAGGAUGGAACCAGAUCCUACUUCUUCUCCAAAGACUUUUUGGCGGCGCUUUUCUUGGAGGCUGGCUUCCGUUGCGUGGCCAACGAGUACGUCCAGAGGGAAACGGUCAACAAGAAAGAAGGACUUUGUGUUCCCAGAGUUUUCUUGCAGGGCAAAUUCAUCAAAAUGCCAUCAUGACAAGACGCACGCAUGCGGAGAAAGACCUGAGUGGUCGUAAAGUUCUCGAGGUUACCUUCACCCUGAAGCAACCUCGGAGUCAAAAAAGGUGGAGACACUUCCUCUCUCUUUCCCUGCGGUUUGCAGCAGUCACGCGAGCACUCAUCCUGUUAUUCCCCCAAGGCGUCAAAACGUUUUCACUUAAGCUUGUCAUGCAAGUGCCCCGAGAAGAAACGGAGAAAUCGUUCUUGGGGUCAGUGGAGCGUGAAGGAUGUGAAUUUGUUCCCUAUCGGAUCGAUUAGCGUAGAUAUGCAGAAAUAAAAGCGGAUUUAAUGCCGUGAUUACUGUGUGGACUAUAAAGUGUUUUUAAAUAACUUAAAUGUUGAUCUUCAUUAGUGGACAGUAAUAAAAGUACAAAUACUUUUCUGUACUUUAAAGUUAUUAUAUAGAGUCAGUUACCGCCACCUGCUUCUUGUGAUACUGUACUGAAAAUAAUUUUUACAACUUUUUGAC